GAAUUAGUGUUUUCCAACAGUAGGAGGACAUUUUUCUGUCAGCACAAACGUCAAAAACAAAUGUCUGCUAUUUCAGCAGAGGAACUUCUAUUCAUCAAAGCAAUGAGAAGAGCAAAGCAUGUUACUGAAGCUGAGCUGUGUGAUUCUGCUCAUCAUCCAGAGGGAUUGUCACGCCCUGGUCGAGGCCGGUGGUGGCUGGUCCGCUUCAAGAAGCUGAGGUGCGGGAGGUCCCUCCGCCCCCCUGGACAUCGAAUGCAGUUCGGUCCAUACUGGACUUGAGGCGUCGGGUGGGGGGUCUUCAGUAACUCGUGGAUUGGGAGGGGUACGGUCCGGAGGAGAGAUGCUGGGUGCCGGUGGAGGACGUAUUGGACCCACCUAUGCUGAGGGAGUUUCACCUCCUCCAUCCGGAUCGCCCUGCGCCUCGUCCUCGGGGUCAUCCUCGAGGCCUGCGUUGGCAUCAGGGGGGGGUACUGUCACGACUUCUACCGAAGGUAGCUCCUGUCCCUGUUCGGGCGGCGCUCGGCAUCGCCGGUCUACUAGCCAUCACCGAUCCCUUUUUCCUUUUCUGUUUGUUUUGUCUUUGGUUCUUUUUCACACCUGGUUUCAUUUGCAUUCAUUUCUGUGUGUAUAAUUGUAACCUGUUGCCU